UGCAGCAACGCCGCGUGAGGGAUGACGGCCUAUCGGGUUGUAAACCUCUUUUAGUAGGGAAGAAGCGAAAGUGACGGUACCUGCAGAAAAAGCACCGGCUAACUACGUGCCAGCAGCCGCGGUAAUACGUAGGGUGCAAGCGUUAUCCGGAAUUAUUGGGCGUAAAGAGCUCGUAGGCGGUUUGUCGCGUCUGCUGUGAAAACUGGAGGCUCAACCUCCAGCCUGCAGUGGGUACGGGCAGACUAGAGUGCGGUAGGGGAGAUUGGAAUUCCUGGUGUAGCGGUGGAAUGCGCAGAUAUCAGGAGGAACACCGAUGGCGAAGGCAGAUCUCUGGGCCGUAACUGACGCUGAGGAGCGAAAGCAUGGGGAGCGAACAGGAUUAGAUACCCUGGUAGUCCAUGCCGUAAACGUUGGGAACUAGAUGUAGGGGCCAUUCCACGGUUUCUGUGUCGCAGCUAACGCAUUAAGUUCCCCGCCUGGGGAGUACGGCCGCAAGGCUAAAACUCAAAGGAAUUGACGGGGGCCCGCACAAGCGGCGGAGCAUGCGGAUUAAUUCGAUGCAACGCGAAGAACCUUACCAAGGCUUGACAUAUACGAGAACGGGCUAGAAAUAGUCAACUCUUUGGAC
rnacentral:rRNA from 1 species